GUGUGAAUCACAGGGCGCUUCUCCCUUGGCACGGUAGCAUGCAUGCACAGAUGAUGGUGCAGCUAGCAAAUAUCUAGUCGUGCGUGCCAAAGGAGAAUUGCCCUGCCAUUCGCCU
rfam:Triticum aestivum genome assembly, contig: Triticum_aestivum_CS42_TGACv1_scaffold_034264_1BL